rnacentral:rRNA from 1 species
GACGAACGCUGGCGGCGUGCUUAACACAUGCAAGUCGAACGGAAAGGCGCUGCUUUUGUGGGGUGCUCGAGUGGCGAACGGGUGGGUAACACGUGAGUAACCUGCCCUUGACUUUGGGAUAACUUCAGGAAACUGGGGCUAAUACCGGAUAGGAGCUCCUGCUGCAUGGUGGGGGUUGGAAAGUUUCGGCGGUUGGGGAUGGACUGGUGGCUUAUCAGCUUGUUGGUGGGGUAGUGGCUGACCACGGCUUUGACGGCUAGCCGGCCUGAGAGGGUGACCGGCCACAUUGGGACGGAGGGACGGCCCAGACUCCUACGGGAGGCAGCAGUGGGGAAUAUUGCACAGUGGGCGGAAGCCUGAUGCAGCAGCGCUGCGUGCGGGAGGUCGGCGUUCGAGUUGUAAACCGCUUUCGCCUGUGACGAAGCGUGAGUGACGGUAAUGGGUAAAGAAGCACCGGCUAACUACGUG